UACAGAGGGUGCGAGCGUUAAUCGGAAUUACUGGGCGUAAAGCGUGCGUAGACGGUAGCGUAAGUCAGAUGUGAAAGCCCCGGGCUCAACCUGGGAAUUGCAUUUGAGACUGCUCUGCUCGGGUGCGGAAGAGGGAAGCGGAAUUUCCGGUGUAGCGGUGAAAUGCGUAGAUAUCUGGAGGAACACCGGUGGCGAAGGCGGCAUCCUGGACCGGCAUUGACGCUGAGGAGCGAAAGCCAGGGGAGCAAACGGG
rnacentral:rRNA from 1 species